AGGAGAGAUGGGUGGCCUGCCAUGGGUAUCCAUGGUGACAAGAGUCAACAGGAACGUGACUGGGUUCUAAAUGAAUUCAAACAUGGAAAAGCUCCUAUUCUGAUUGCUACAGAUGUGGCCUCCCACGGGCUAGAUGUGGAAGAUGUGAAAUUUGUCAUCAAUUAUGACUACCCUAACUCCUCAGAGGAUUAUAUUCAUCGAAUUGGAAGAACUGCUCGCAGUAUCAAAACAGGCACAGCAUACGCUUUCUUUACACCUAAUAACAUAAAGCAAGUAAGCGACUUUAUCUCUGUGCUUCGUGAAGCUAAUCAAGCAAUUAAUCCCAAGUUGCUUCAGUUGGUGGAAGACAGAGGUUCAGGUCGUUCCAGGGGUAGAGGAGGCAUGAAGGAUGACCGUCGGGACAGAUACUCUGCGGGCAAAAGGGGUGGAUUUAACACCUUUAGAGAUAGGGAAAAUUAUGACAGGGGUUAUUCUAGCCUGCUUAAGAGAGAUUUGGGGGCAAAAACUCAGAAUGGUGUUUACAGUAAUGCAAAUUACACCAAUGGGAGGUUUGGGAGUAAUUUUGUGUCUGCUGGUAUACAGACCAGUUUUAGGACUGGUAAUCCUACAGGGACUUACCAGAAUGGUUAUGACAGCACUCAGCAGUAUGGAAGUAAUGUUCCCAAUAUGCACAAUGGUAUGAACCAACAGGCAUAUGCAUAUCCUGCUACCGCAGCCGCACCUAUGAUUGGUUAUCCAAUGCCAACCGGAUACUCUCAAUAAGACUUUAGAAGUAUAUGUAAAUGUCUGUUUUUCAUAAUUGUUCUUUAUAUUGUGUGUUAUCAGACAAGAUAGUUAUUUAAGAAACAUGGGAAACGCAGAAAUGACUGCAGUGCAGCAGUAAUUAUGGUGCACUUUUUUGCUAUUUAAGUUGGAUAUUUCUCUACAUUCCUGAAGCAAUUUUUAGGUUUUUUUUGUACUAGAAAAUGCAGGCAGUGUUUUCACAAAAGUAAAUGUACAGUGAUUUGAAAUACAAUAAAUGAAGGCAAUGCAUGGCCUUCCAAUAAAAAAUAUUUGAAGACUGAAAAAAAAAAAAA